ACACUCCUACGGGAGGCAGCAGUGGGGAAUAUUGGACAAUGGGCGCAAGCCUGAUCCAGCCAUGCCGCGUGAGUGAUGAAGGCCCUAGGGUUGUAAAGCUCUUUCACCGGUGAAGAUAAUGACGGUAACCGGAGAAGAAGCCCCGACUAACUUCGUGCCAGCAGCCGCGGUAAUACGAAGGGGGCUAGCGUUGUUCGGAUUUACUGGGCGUAAAGCGCACGUAGGCGGACUAUUAAGUCAGGGGUGAAAUCCCGGGGCUCAACCCCGGAACUGCCUUUGAUACUGGUAGUCUUGAGUUCGAGAGAGGUGAGUGGAAUUCCGAGUGUAGAGGUGAAAUUCGUAGAUAUUCGGAGGAACACCAGUGGCGAAGGCGGCUCACUGGCUCGAUACUGACGCUGAGGUGCGAAAGCGUGGGGAGCAAACAGGAUUAGAUACCCCGGUAGUCCCAUG
rnacentral:rRNA from 1 species